CUGCGGAUGGCUCAUUAAAUCAGUUAUCGUUUAUUUGAUAGUCCCUUACCACCUGGAUAACCGUGGUAAUUCUAGAGCUAAUACAUGCUAAAAACCCCGACUUCGGAAGGGGUGUGUUUAUUAGAUAAAAAACCAAUGCCCUUCGGGGCUCUUUGGUGAUUCAUGAUAACCUAACGGAUCGCAUGGCCUUGCGCCGGCGACGGUUCAUUCAAAUUUCUGCCCUAUCAACUUUCGAUGGUAAGGUAUUGGCUUACCAUGGUUUCAACGGGUAACGGGGAAUUAGGGUUCGAUUCCGGAGAGGGAGCCUGAGAAACGGCUACCACAUCCAAGGAAGGCAGCAGGCGCGCAAAUUACCCAAUCCCGACACGGGGAGGUAGUGACAAUAAAUACUGAUACAGGGCUCUUUUGGGUCUUGUAAUUGGAAUGAGUACAAUUUAAACCCCUUAACGAGGAACAAUUGGAGGGCAAGUCUGGUGCCAGCAGCCGCGGUAAUUCCAGCUCCAAUAGCGUAUAUUAAAGUUGUUGCAGUUAAAAAGCUCGUAGUUGAAACUUGGGUCUGGCUAGCGGGUCCGCCUCACCGCGUGCACUUGUCCGGCUGGACCUUUCCUUCUGGAGAACCUCAUGCCCUUCACUGGGUGUGCUGGGGAACCAGGACUUUUACUUUGAAAAAAUUAGAGUGUUCAAAGCAGGCCUUUGCUCGAAUACGUUAGCAUGGAAUAAUAGAAUAGGACGUGCGGUCCUAUUUUGUUGGUUUCUAGGAUCGCCGUAAUGAUUAAUAGGGAUAGUCGGGGGCAUCAGUAUUCAAUUGUCAGAGGUGAAAUUCUUGGAUUUAUUGAAGACUAACUACUGCGAAAGCAUUUGCCAAGGAUGUUUUCAUUAAUCAGUGAACGAAAGUUAGGGGAUCGAAGACGAUCAGAUACCGUCGUAGUCUUAACCGUAAACUAUGCCGACUAGGGAUCGGGCGAUGUUUCUAUCUUGACUCCGUCGGCACCUUACGAGAAAUCAAAG
rnacentral:rRNA from 1 species